ensembl:snRNA RNU6-720P RNA, U6 small nuclear 720, pseudogene
GUACUCGUUUCAGCAACACAUAUACUAAAAUUGGAAUGAUACAGAGAAGAUUAGCAUGACCCCCGUGCAGUGCAAGAAACAGAAUUUUUUAUUGAGCAAUAGAAUUAG